rnacentral:pre_miRNA from 1 species
AAAACAAUUUUACCGUUGGCCUACCGAGAAAUAUCACCCGGUCGGUGGAAAAUCUUCCCUUUGUCGU